rnacentral:lncRNA from 1 species
AUUUACCUUUAUCCCCCCAAAGAGAUCGAACCAUCUGGAUGGAAAUACUGUAAAAUGGGGGAAGAGCAAGCAUCACCCGUAACCUCAGUAGGCUAACACAACACUUCUCAUUCCUUUGAUGUUUAUCCUAUGAACCUUCUUCCCUCCCCCACGGAACAUAAGUUUAUGGACGAAUCUCAACCAAAAACGUGACGUAGCUUGAUUUUUUUCCACCCACGGCUCUUGACCAUGUAGGUUGACUCUUUCUUUCCUGCUGGGUUCCUGUCACUUUGCCAUCACUUUCGGUUACCGAAACUCAAUACAGGUUAGCACUGGUCAUCAAUGUUGGUGACACCAUAGAAAGAAACAGAAGCAGACAUAUUUACUUCCUGGAAGGGCGACUGGGGUCCUCAUCGGGGCACCGUGAGAGUCAGAAGUGAAUCACCAAAGAUCUUCAUGACAGGAGCUCCAAAGGGCUAUGUUUUAAGAAGAAGAAAGAUGACCUCAGCGGGAAGGUCUGCAAUGCAGGAAGGAGUGAUGAGCAAAGGGAGAAGCCGGUAGUGAACUUGGAGACCACACCCAAGCAGAAAAGAGCGGAGUGGAAUUCAGCCCCGAAGCCUGAGAGUGCUGGGACCUUAACAAAGCAAGCCGCGGAGGUGAGCGUCCCAAGAGCUCUUAGCCACAUCUUUACUGCGACUUCUCUGCAGACUGCGUUGUACUUUAUUUAGACUGUGUGGCAGGUGGAAGUGCAUACUGAUUUGGGAUGUUGGUUGUGCCUUAAAAUUUUUUUAAAACAGCUUUGUUGAACCCUGAUGAGCUUGACUGGAGCGUAACUCCAGAGCUAUAACUGACAUUCGAUAAAAUGCAACAUGGUUAGAAUAUAUGCUUGGCUAGGUUUGGUAUAGUAUGUGCGAAUCCGUGAAACCAUCACCGCAAUCAAGAUGAUGAACAUCUCCGUAACUCCCGAAACGUUGUUUCCCUUUGUAAAUCCCGCCUCUUCUCGCCCCCAUCCCCGGGCAGCACCUGGUCUGCUUUUUGUCACUAUACAUUAAUUUGCAUUUUCUAGAGAUUUAUGUCAAUGGGAUCAUAUCUUCUGUGCUCUUUUUGUCCGUCUCCUUUCACAUAAUUUCAUGUAAUUAUUUGAAGUUAUAUCCAUAUUGCUGCAUGUGAUUAAUAGUUCAUUCUGUUUUAUUACUGAGUAGUAUUCCAUUGUAUGGAUACACUAUUGUUUAUCCAUUCACCUGUCGAUGGCCAUUUGGGCUGUUCCCAGUUUUUGGCUAUCACAAAUAAAAC